GACGUAGGGCGCGAGCGUUGUCCGGAUUUAUUGGGCGUAAAGAGCUCGUAGGCGGUUUGUCGCGUCUGCUGUGAAAACCUAAGGCUCAACCUUGGGCUUGCAGUGGGUACGGGGCAGACUAGAGUGCGGUAGGGGUGACUGGAAUUCCUGGUGUAGCGGUGGAAUGCGCAGAUAUCAGGAGGAACACCGGUGGCGAAGGCGGGUCUCUGGGCAGUAACUGACGCUGGAGGAGCGAAAGCGUGGGGAGCGAACAGG
rnacentral:rRNA from 1 species